rnacentral:rRNA from 1 species
UGGCGGACGGGUGAGUAACGCGUAAAGAACUUGCCCUUUAGACUGGGAUAACAGAGGGAAACUUCUGAUAAUACUGGAUAAGUUAGUAUAUCGCAUGAUAUGCAAAUGAAAGCUACGGCACUAAAGUAUAGCUUUGCGUCCUAUUAGCUAGUUGGUAAGGUAAGAGCUUACCAAGGCGAUGAUAGGUAGCCGGCCUGAGAGGGUGGACGGCCACAAGGGGACUGAGAUACGGCCCUUACUCCUACGGGAGGCAGCAGAA